UUGUUUAAAAUGCAGAAGAAUGGACGUUGACAAUGAUCGCAGAUGGCAAAUCGCCUGGUAUGAGCCGAAAUUAUGCUGUGCAAAGACAAAUUAUAUAAGCUUUCAUCCAGAAAUGGCCAGCUUGCUAUGUAUGUUUUCAGUUUUAAAGAUAAAUCCUGGACUGGAUUGAUAGAGAAAUAACCGCACCAUUCAAAAACAGUAAUUUUAAUGUGGUUUACGCACCUGAAGAUUGUUUAUACAUAUGCGGAGCAAGUGAAUUAUUUGUUAUGAAAAAUGAUUGGAUAUUUUUUAUAGAAGCUCGCAAAUGGCAGCCUGUUGCUCCAAUGAAACAGUCGCGAUUUUGUCCUACAAUUGUUGCUUUGCAAAGAUUUUUGUUACGCAAUAUAGGAGGUGGAAGAGAUUUCCUAUCAAAUUGUCCAACUGUAA